GUUAGGAAUAUUGGACAAUGGGCGAAAGCCUGAUCCAGCCAUGCCGCGUGAACGAUGAAGGCCUUCGGGUUGUAAAGUUCUUUAGCCGAUGAUUAUAAUGACUGUAGUCGGAAAAUAAGCCCCGGCUAACUUCGUGCCAGCAGCCGCGGUAAUACGAAGGGGGCGAGCGUUAUUCGGAAUCACUGGGCGUAAAGCGUGCGUAGGCGGUUUUGUAAGUUAGGAGUGAAAGCCCAGGGCUCAACCUUGGAAUUGCUCUUAAAACUGCAAGGCUCGAAUCUCGGAGAGGAUAGCGGAAUUUCCAGUGUAGCAGUGAAAUGCGUAGAUAUUGGAAGGAACACCAGUGGCGUAAGCGGCUAUCUGGACGAGUAUUGACGCUGAGGCACGAAAGCGUGGGGAUCAAACAGGAUUAGAUACCCCAGUAGUCC
rnacentral:rRNA from 1 species